GACGAACGCUGGCGGCGUGCCUAAUACAUGCAAGUAGAACGCUGAAGAGAGGAGCUUACUCUUCUUGUAUGAGUUGCGAACGGGUGAGUAACGCGUAGGUAACCUGCCUUGUAGCGGGGGAUAACUAUUGGAAACGAUAGCUAAUACUGCAUAACAUUGGAUGUCACAUGUCUUUUAUUUGAAAGGGGCAAUUUCUCCACUACAAGAUGGACCUGCGUUGUAUUAGGUAGUAGGUGAGGUAAUGGCUCACCUAGGCGACGCUACAUAGCCGACCGGAGAGGGGGAGCGGGCGCACUGGGACUGAGAGAGGGCCCGGACCCCCACAGGAGGCAGCAGGAGGGAAUCUUCGGGAAUGGGGGCAAACCGGAGCGAGCAAGGCCGCGUGAGUGAAGAAGGUGGUCGGAGCGUAAAGCUCUGUUGUAUGUCAAGAACGGGUGUGAGGGUGGAAAGUUCACACUGUGACGGUAGCUGAUCAGAAAGCGACGGCUAACUACGUG
rnacentral:rRNA from 1 species